AUUACACCAGAGAAAAUUAGUAUGUCUCCUGAACAAGGAUGGCAGAAAAACUUGUGAAACACUCCAUACUUUC
ensembl:snRNA predicted gene, 22787